CCUUCCUCGCCCCCCGCCCUCCUCAGGCCCCGGGGCGCCGCAGCGGCGCUGUGGGGGCAGGGAGGCGGAGUGCGCAGGCGCGGGCUGCGGCGCCUUUCUAGCACUUUCUGGCGCGCAGCCGCCUGAGGCGGCGGGGGCCGGGCGGGCGUUGUCAUGGCAACGGCGCCUCACGCCCGGCGGCGGGAAGGAGCCGGGGGGGGCUCGCUCCGUGAGGGGGCGCCGUGGCCGCGGCCCCGUUCCGAGCCCCGCGAGCAGGCGCAGGAAGGGCCGGGCCGCGUGUUUCUCGUUCGGUGCGCAGGGUGCUGGCGCACUGCUGGACGUGAUAAAUAAAUCGAUGCAGAACCGUGGGGGUUUCCCCACGGCAGAGCUGAAAUGGCGUCUGAGGAGAGCUGCGUUAGGCGACACCUUUAUCCUGAGCUGGCUAUUUGCGGCCCAGCCCUGUCAUUAGGCAGCCAAACAUCCCAAGCCGAAUAAAUGUCUCCCUCACUUACCCUUUCUCUGUCUCAUUCUGCGGCGCUGUCGCCUUCCACCGCCCAACUUAGUUAGCACAUUCUUGCAUAGGCGGUUCAUCUGUUGGUCAGGGCUUCUACAGAGCAUACUUUGACUGUUGUUUUAGCAGAGCCUUUUUAUGAUUAUACACAUUCAUUAAGGGUGCCAGCAAGGUCUACAAGUCCUAGCAUCUCUUCUUGUUUCAUAAUGGAGCUAGAACUUGAAAGAGGCUCCUAAUUGGGUGCUCCAAACCUAGCUAGUCGCAAACUGGUGCCUUGAUGUGGGGGUGGAUUGAGGCAAAAGCAGCAGUUGACCUCGAUUCUUUCUACACAAACAGCACUCUGCGUGUGGUUCAGGUGUUCAUGUAAGACAGAGCUACAUUAUGACUUGUAUACAUAUCACGAUCUACACUUGGAUAACAAUAACCCAACUGUUUCUGUGACGGGUCAGGUGAGGAGGUGAGCAGGAGAAGAAGAGUAUCAUGAAGACUUUUGCAGGAGAUAAAAUAGCCUCUGGUAGUUGGCUUGAUGCAAGGGUGUGUGUGAAUGAUAUUUCUGGCAUGUAAACAACAUACACCCGCAGAGAUGCUGUAAGGAGCGCAGGAGCACUCGGAGCAGCCCCAGAAGCACCUGGACAGCCCCCGGAGACCCUGGAGCAUCUGGGGUAAGCUGAGAGCAGCUCCCGCAGCCCCGAGAAGCCCUGUGAGAGCCCUCUAGAUAGCCCCAGAGGUGCCCAGGCAGGACUAGGAAGACACAGAUACUGCUCAUCCUCCACAUUCAAAGCCAGAAGGUAGGAGGUUUAUGUAGUUUACUUAAAGAUAGCUGAGUAAUGCAAAGGUAUUAGGGCCCAGAUCCAUCCCACAUAAUUACAGGCAUUGAAUUGAAUUGCUCUCUCUGGGCUGCGUUCACACCAGAGCCGGUGGAAGGGGAUGGCUCAGCCCGCUCCAGCUCUGAAAAGUCCUCUGACAACACCUCUCUGUGGUCCGUAGGGGUGUUUGUAGUAGCCAAAUCCAAAAUGUCUGUAUCUCAUUUAAGUACCAAAGGCAGCAAGGAUCAGUCGACCAGAUUUGCUCAAGAUUUCAUACGCGUGUGCAAUAAUCAGUAAAGACUGCUUUUCAUCCAGGAUGUCAUGCCAUAUCUUCAGAGUAACAAAGAACAAAUGCCACCUUCUUUCUGAUUAAAAAAGAUAGAAGGGAGUUUUAUCUUGCCUGUGUUUUGCUGCUUGCAGUGUUCUGCUGUCUAGGAAAGUACAUUCAGCACAAAUUAAAUUAUUAUCAAGGCCUGCUCAGAGCAGCGUUAGCAAGCAUCUGUGCUCAUGAAGCCCUAGAAAACUCUCCCUAAAAGCGGAGCAGGGGGAGACACUGCAGGGCCAGCCGGAGGUUUGCUGGUACAAGCGCUGCUGUAUUUCAUGCAGAUACAGGGCUUUUUUUUUUUUUUUUUUAAUUCCAGCCAGAAAGCAGAGGACUGCGUAUCAGUGACAAAGAUGUGUUUCCUCACUUCAUUUGAAAUUAUGAGACUUUGUAGCCUAUGCUUCUGCCAGCUUGUGCUUGUGGUUCAGCCCUUGCUGCCUUUAGUGUUGGGGAAGCUGUUCUGUAAUGUGUAGAGUGAGAAAUGGUUGCCACCCCCAACAUCCCAAGUGGUAGCAAAAAAUGGAAAUACUCUGCUCAAUUAUGAUGUCCGAUAUCUGGCUCCUAAAUGGUAGCAGGAUCAUACCCAGCAGAGUAGUGAUAAUACCCCGUGGGGUAGCUAAAACUUUGCUCCUGUGAUUGAGACUUCAGAGGUUUCCCUGGGAGAUUCAGCUACCUAAAGAUCUAUGGAUCGGGAGGCAUUUCAAAUUAUACAUGCAAAAUUUAUUUUUGCUAUUUCUAUUCCAGUCAGUCAGUACUUCUGUUCCUAGCUACAUGCAGAUCCACAGGAAAUGACAAUGCCAUUUUAAAUACUUUUGCAUUUUUUAAAUUAAAGUAAAAUGCCCUUAUUUCUAAGCUCUCUGUGAGGAGGAACACAGCCAAGCUGCCAGGAGUCUCUAUGGAGAGCUGCUGGAGCUGCAGACCAUCUUAGCCCUGUGACUUCGAGUGCUGUGGCAGCCCAGCAGCCUAAUUUGUGUUACCAGAAGGUGAGCUGGCAAGUAGCGAGGCACAUUUCUGCCAGAACCUUGUCUCACAUAAAGCAUUCCUUCAAAGGCAAACCAUCUGCACAAAACUGACAAUUCAGCAAGGUCUGGGAGAAAAAAAAAUUGCAAAUUCUAUGGCCCUGCAUGAACAAAAUGAUAGAGCAUGUUUCUAAAUGUCGUCCGUUUAGUGGACAGUCUGCAGAGAGGAGCUGCUGUGGAUUCCCAGGGCAGGGAAGCAGGGGCAGUUGGAAAGCAAUCGGAUAGCACAGAAGGGAACAGCUAGAGCAAGCUGGGGAGAAACAUGUCUCCUACAUCGUUUCUUCCAUUGAAAACAUCUGCUUUAAAUGGUAUUUGAUUUCUUUGGAAGCUCUCCUCAAACGUUGCUGCAAGUGACAAGAAAGGAAGCCUUACCUCAUUUAGAUGCUUCUGAAUUUCCCAUCUGUAAGUUUGCUGUAUGAAUUAAUGGCUGUAACAGGGACAAUAGAAAACAUUAGGGGCUGCUAUUACCAGGCCAGCGUCCCUGGGUUUAAUCCAGAAGAAGACAUGUUAGUGAAGUUAAAAAAAUUAUUGCUCUCGAGAGAUUCUACCUCAGAUGGAUCUUCCAGGGAAGCAGCUAUUAAAGAGAACCUCCACACUGCAACGAGCCUUUCAUCUGUGUCCACAUCAGCAGUCUCCUCGUCAUGUUUCCAGACAAGCCUGCUUGCUAAUUUAUUUGAUUUGUGGUGGGACCAGCGACUGGCUGCAUUGGAGGUUUCCUGAGGCUUAAGGCGCUGUCCUGCCAGCCUCCCUCUUGUGACUGAUCCCCGUCAUUACAACUGAGGUGAACAAGAGCUUAUGCUAUCAGUUUAUCUUUCUAAGAUCAUCCUAUUGCAAGAAGACUCUUUAAUA